AGUGGUUAAACUCUUUGUUAUUACUCAGUGUCCCAGAAACCCCGUUUCCCCCCUCCCCUCCUCCUCCCUCCUUUCCCCCUACCCCACUUCUUUUAAAAAACGUGUGGAUAUACAUGUGGAGAAGUGUCUUGGGGUGAAAGUAAAGGCGGUGGGGAAAAGUGAAAGCCGUUUCCGGGGUAAUCGGACGAAUAAUUUUUUAUUGGCAAUGAUAAGAAAAUUUUAUAUAACAACGUGACUUUUUCCACUAUCGAUAAUAAAUAAAUUCUGAUAAUCACCGAUAAUUUGGUCAGCAAAAUGUCCGCUUGAAUGCUAUUAUUUUAUUAUAUUUUUAAAAAUAUUAAAAUUCACUGAAGUUGAGAAAUAAUCCGCGAGGCGCCACUGUCCGGUCUCACCCGGAGCCUAUCCCCUUUUCAAAAUCAAACACAAACGAAAGUAAGAACGCGGAUAAGUGGAACACGGCCAGUGGCCCGGUGCCCCCCUGACCUACAUUUUUCCAUUUCACCAACGAAAGUGAAAAGAUCACCUCCCCGUGGCCCCCGCGAGAGGUCUGCCUUUCAAAAUUUUUAUUACGCCGAGGGAAUCGAUGAAUUUAUGGCGGCGAAUACCGGGACGAUAGUUUGGCAGACGAUUUUUAACGGAGGGGACAGUCAAAUAGUUCGGAUUCUAAAAAUAAAUUUAAAAAAAAAUGAAAAGGAGGAGCGAAUUGAACGAUAGAAACGAUUGUGGAUUAAGAUGAUAAAUUGUUCAGCAUUUAAAGGGUCAAAGGGGCAAAAAUGGUUUGAGGCCAUUUUCCUGCAGCGUAAUGAAGAUUAAAAUUACUGAAAGUGGAAAUCGGUAAUAUUUUAUGGUGUCCUGGAGUGAAAAAUAAUCCAGUUAUUGAAAUGUUCUCAUCUCCGUGAAGGAAUUUCAAGCAGAAAAUUUAAACCCGGAAUCCGUCCUUGGUGAUAAAUCAAGGGUAAUCAUUCUGACGGAAAACUGUUUCAUCCUACGGUAAGAGGAUCGUAUAUUAGAGAAUAAUGUGCCAAGGGUUAAAAAGAGUUGGGCCUUCCUCAACCUUCGCAAAGUUAACGGUGUCCUCAAUGGCCUAACCGUGCUCUGCAUUAGAUUUACGACAUCUCUCAACCGGAAAGUCGACUUCUGGGCGAGAGUCGUGGGCUGGGGCGUGAAAUCACGAGCCAACGAUUGAUUUUCAACGCUGCAACGGCAUUUUCCCUUCCUGGUGGAGCCUCUGGAAGGCACCAACGGUGCCCGCCCGACGGGAAAAUUCACUGGCUCUGUUAUACAUCAUCGACUGAAGGUGUGGUGAAACACCUCGUCGACUUCCCUUUUGUCCCACAGACCCACAGACUCAUGACUUUCAAUAACACCUCUUGUCGAAACUUUCAAUGAGCAUUCUUUGGCCACCAACUGUGAAGAAGAUUUUGAGGCCAGUUUGGAUGACCUUGGGAGAUAUUGAUGCCCGGAAAUACCAAAAAAGCUACGGAAAUUGUGGGAAUGGAAUUUGGCAAUUUUCGAAUCGUUAUUUGUUUUUCCAUUUGUACAUUUUUUCGAUGAAAAUUAAUAUUUUUCGAUAAAAAUAUUCAUUUUUAUCGAAGGAAAAUAUAAAACUUUGUUAUUCCAUUUAUUAAGAAAAAUAAUAAAAUGUUUAUAUAUUUUUUUCCUCCA